rnacentral:ncRNA from 1 species
GGGCACCCAAGGGGGCCUGAAAAUCGGGCGGCACGGCCGCCUCAUAGCAAACGGAAGACAGAAA